UACAGAGGGUGCAAGCGUUGUUCGGAAUUAUUGGGCGUAAAGCGCGUGUAGGCGGCCUUGCAAGUCGGGUGUGAAAUCCCUCAGCUUAACUGAGGAAGUGCGCCCGAAACUGCAGAGCUUGAGUGCCGGAGAGGGUGGCGGAAUUCCCCAAGUAGAGGUGAAAUUCGUAGAUAUGGGGAGGAACACCGGUGGCGAAGGCGGCCACCUGGCCGGUAACUGACGCUGAGACGCGAAAGCAUGGGGAGCAAACAGG
rnacentral:rRNA from 1 species